rnacentral:rRNA from 1 species
UGUGGCGAUCAAGCUACUAAGGGCGCAUGGUGGAUGCCUUGGCGCCAGGAGGCGAUGAAGGACGUGGCAGGCUGCGAUAAGCCUCGGGGAGCCGCCUGCAGGCUGUGAUCCGGGGAUCUCCGAAUGGGGAAACCCAGUGUCGCGAAAGCGGCACUAUCACCGGAUGAAUGCAUAGUCCGGUGAGGCGACACCCGCUGAAGUGAAACAUCUCAGUAAGCGGAGGAAAAGAAAACGAAAGUGAUUCCCUGAGUAGUGGCGAGCGAAAGGGGAAGAGGCUAAACCAAGGAGACGUUAACUCUCCUUGGGGUAGUGGGACUCCGAUAAAGGGUAGGCGGAGGGUUAGCAGAACCACCUGGAAAGGUGGGCCAUAGAGGGUGACAGCCCCGUAUGCGAAAACCCAAAGCCGCUCUGGAGUAUCCCGAGUAGCACGGGGCACGUGGAACCCUGUGCGAAUCUGCCCGGACCACCGGGUAAGCCUAAAUACUACCUGGCGACCGAUAGUGGACCAGUACCGUGAGGGAAAGGUGAAAAGAACCCCUGUUAGGGGAGUGAAAUAGAGCCUGAAACCAUGCGCUUACAAGGUGUGGGAGCUCCGCGCAAGCGGGGUGACCGCGUGCCUUUUGCAUAAUGAGUCCGGGAGUUAUUGUCGGUGGCGAGCCUAAGGCUCAAAUGAGCCGGAGGCGAAGCGAAAGCGAGUGCGAAUAGCGCGCCUAGUCGCCGGCAAUAGACCCGAAGCCCAGUCGAUCUACCCAUGGCCAGGGUGAAGCUGGGGUAACACCCAGUGGAGGCCCGAACCCGUGGAUGUUGAAAAAUCCUGGGAUGAGCUGUGGGUAGGAGCGAAAGACUAACCAAGCUGGGUGAUAGCUGGUUCUCCCCGAAAUAGCUUUAGGGCUAGCGUCGGGACAGUACUCCGGGAGGUAGAGCACUGAAUGGCUUAGGGGGCCCACCGGCCUUCCGAAACCAAUCAAACUCCGAAUGCCCGGAUCCCAUUAUCCCGGCAGUCAGACCGUGGGGGAUAAGCUUCAUGGUCGAGAGGGCAACAGCCCAGACCACCGGCUAAGGCGCCUAAACACGGUUAAGUGGAAAGGAUGUGGCGCUGCGAAGACAGUGAGGAUGUUGGCUUAGAGGCAGCCAUCAUUUAAACAGUGCGUAACAGCUGACUCACCGAGCGGCGCUGCGCCGAAAAUGAUUGGCGAUCAAACCGUGUGCCGAAGCCGUGGGUGGUUGAUGUCUUCGGACGUCAACCGCGGUAGGGGAGCGUAGUCGGUGCUGCGAAGCGGGAGGGGAACCGACCGUGGAGCGCCGACUAGUGAGAAUCCGGACACGAGUAGCGAUAAACCGGGUGAGAAUCCCGGUCGCCGUAAACCCAAGGUUUCCUGGGCCAGGUUCGUCCGCCCAGGGUUAGCCGGGAGCUAAGCCGAGGCCGAAAGGCGUAGGUGAUGCACAGCAGGUUAAUAUUCCUGCGCCAGGCAGGGAUUCGACCCUCAGGAUGACGCAGGACCGGAAGGCGAUUAGGCAAUUGAAUGCUGAGCCAAGGCUUCGGCCGCGGCGUAUCGCUGGAUGGACUGCCGAGAAAAGUCCUGGGGUAAUCUGCCCUGUCUGCCCGUACCGUAAACCGACACAGGUGGGUGGGUGUAAACGCACUCAGGCGCGCGGGUGAAACCUCCCUAAGGAACUCGGCAAAUUGGCCCCGUAACUUCGGGAGAAGGGGUGCCCAAAGCCGUGGCAGAAAUGUUGCGGCUGCGGGCCGCAGUGAAUCGCGCUCUGCGACUGUUUAACAAAAACACAGCUCUCUGCGACGCCGUGAAGGCUACGUAUAGGGAGUGACAAGUGACCAAUGCCGGAAGAUUAAGGCGUCUUGUUAGUCCUGGGCAACCAGGGCGAAGCUCGGCGCCAAAGUCCCGGUGAAUGUCGGCCGUAACUAUAACGGUCCUAAGGUAGCGAAAUUCCUUGUCGGGUAAGUUCCGACCUGCACGAAUCUUGUAACGACAGAGCGACUGUCUCGGGGAGGUGCCCGGCGAAACUGUAAUGGCGGUGAAGAUGCCGCCUGCCCGCAGUAGGACGGAAAGACCCUAUGCACCUUUACUGUAAGCUGGCAUUGGGUUCCGGUUACCGAUGCGUAGCGUAGGUGGGAGGCUUUGAAGCCUCACUUUCGGGUGAGGUGGAGCCGCCAAUGAAACACCACUCUUCGGUAAUUGGAAUUCUAACCCCGAUUCCUGUUAGCCAGGCGGGGGACAGUGCUUGCGGGUCAGUUUGACUGGGGCGGUCUCCUCCUAAAAGGUAACGGAGGAGCGCGAAGCUCGGCUCAGCACGGUUGGCAACCGUGUGUUGAGGGUAUGGCCAGAAGCCGGGUUAACUGUGAGACUCACAAGUCGAGCAGGUGCGAAAGCAGGCCCAAGUGAUCCGGCGGGUGAAUGUGGAAUCCCCGUCGCUCAUCGGACAAAAGGUACGCUAGGGAUAACAGGCUGAUCGGGCCUGAGAGUUCACAUCGACGGCCCGGUUUGGCACCUCGAUGUCGGCUCAUCGCAUCCUGGGGCUGGAGAAGGUCCCAAGGGUCCGUCUGUUCGCCGGUUAAAGCGGUACGCGAGCUGGGUUCAGAACGUCGUGAGACAGUUCGGUCCUUAUCCACUGUGGGCGGAGGACACUUGAGGGAUUCAUUCCCCAGUACGAGAGGACCGGGAAUGACGCACCUCUGGUGUAGCAGUUGUCCCGUCAGGGGCAGCGCUGCGUAGCCAUGUGCGGAAGGGAUAAGCGCUGAAAGCAUCUAAGCGCCAAGCCCCUCCCAAGAUAAGGUGUCCCGGGGCGUAAGCCCCCUGAAGACCCCCGGUAGACCACCGGGUUGAUAGGCUGGAGGUGUAAGCGCCGCAAGGCGUUGAGCUGACCAGUCCUAAUCGGUCGUGCGGCUUGAUCACUAC